rnacentral:rRNA from 1 species
CAGUAGCCGCGGUAAUACGAAGGGGGCUAGCGUUGUUCGGAAUUACUGGGCGUAAAGGGCGCGUAGGCGGCCAUUCAAGUUAGAUGUGAAAGCCCUGGGCUCAACCUAGGAAUUGCAUUUGAUACUGUUUGGCUUGAGUUCGGGAGAGGUGAGUGGAAUUCCCAGUGUAGAGGUGAAAUGCGUAGAUAUCGGAAGGAACACCUGUGGCGAAAGCGGCUCACUGGACCAUUUCUGACGCUGAUGCACGAAAGCUAGGGGAGCAAACAGGAUUAGAUACCCGAGUAGUCCCUGUCUCUUAUAC